AUAAUAUCUUGUAACAGAAACAAA
rnacentral:snRNA from 1 species